AUACUUACCUGGAGACACCUUGAUCAUAACGGUGGCUUUCCCAAGGCGAGACUCAGCCAUUGCACUCUCGGCUUUGAUGACCUUUGCGAAUUCCCCAAAUGUGGGAAUCUAGACUGCAGAAUUUAUGAUAGUGGGGGACUGCGUUCGCUCUCUUCCCUA